rnacentral:lncRNA from 1 species
UUUUAUCCCUUUCAUCAUUCCCACCCACCCCCAAAUUAAUGCACCUUAACCCUAAAUCUACGCCUUAUUUCACCCCACCCAACCCAAUUGUCUGUCUUCCUCGCCUUAUUUCUUCCAAAUCACAAUCUUUUUGUUCAGGCUGUCUAGAUCGUUGACCCACUACUACCAGAUCCCUCAAUGGCGACUUCUUGACAUUUGUAGAAAUUCGAUUUGGUCUUGUGGAAGGAUUGUAAUUUGGGAGGUUGUUUCUGAAAUAAUAGUUCUAGUUGUUGCUCUUGAUCUGAGGAGGUAUGAAAUCAUAUUCUGGUUCUACGAUCGAUGCUUGGAUGGUGUGUUAAAAUGAUUGGUUUUUUCAUGUCAACAUUUUUGGGCCAAAAGUUGGAACUCUUAGAUUUCAUCACAACAACCACAAACUUGCAAGAUGGUUCAAGAUACAGCUCUAGCUUUAUUAAGAAAUGAAUUCAAGAUGUUAAAGUUUUACACAUUUAUUCCUUUAUAAUUGUAGAACUUGUUUAUACUUUAAAGAAAUAUAUACCUUUGUGUUUAUAAAAUUUGUUGGUUUUAUUUGUG